GGAGGAAAGCAGGGGAUCGUAAGACCUUGCGUUAUUCGAGCGGCCGACGUCUGAUUAGCUAGUAGGUGAGGUAAGAGCUCACCUAGGCGACGAUCAGUAGCGGGUCUGAGAGGAUGAUCCACCACACUGGGACUGAGACACGGCCCAGACUCCUACGGGAGGCAGCAGUGGGGAAUUUUGGACAAUGGGCGCAAGCCUGAUCCAGCCAUGCCGCGUGUCUGAAGAAGGCCUUCGGGUUGUAAAGGACUUUUGUCAGGGAGGAAAUCCCUAGCGCUAAUAUCGCUGGGGGAUGACAGUACCUGAGGAAUAAGCACCGGCUAACUACGUGCCAGCAGCCGCGGUAAUACGUAGGGUGCAAGCGUUAAUCGGAAUUACUGGGCGUAAAGCGUGCGCAGGCGGUUAGACAA
rnacentral:rRNA from 1 species